AACGAACGCUGGCGGCAGGCCUAACACAUGCAAGUCGAACGCUCCAGCAAUGGAGAGUGGCAGACGGGUGAGUAACACGUGGGAACCUUCCCUUUGGUUCGGAAUAGCCCAGGGAAACUUGGGGUAAUACCGGAUAAGCCCUUACGGGGAAAGAUUUAUCGCCGAAGGAUGGGCCCGCGUCGGAUUAGCUAGUUGGUGGGGUAACGGCCUACCAAGGCGACGAUCCGUAGCUGGUCUGAGAGGAUGAUCAGCCACACUGGGACUGAGACACGGCCCAGACUCCUACGGGAGGCAGCAGUGGGGAAUAUUGGACAAUGGGCGCAAGCCUGAUCCAGCCAUGCCGCGUGAGUGACGAAGGCCUUAGGGUUGUAAAGCUCUUUUGGCGGGGAAGAUAAUGACGGUACCCGCAGAAUAAGCUCCGGCUAACUUCGUGCCAGCCGCCGCGGUAAUAC
rnacentral:rRNA from 1 species